AUCUCAGUUUUCAGGAAUCCCCUCUCAGCCCAGACCGGACCACUCCUCCCUCAAGCUACUUUUCCCCCUCUCCAGACUAUUUCCCGCACGGGCUCCCUUUGUGACAGAACUCAGCUACGUUCAAGCUGCUCCCUUGGUUUCCUUUUAAUAAAUUCUUAUUUAAAACACUU